AGACGGAGGGGGCUAGCGUUGUUCGGAAUUACUGGGCGUAAAGCGCGCGUAGGCGGAUUGAUCAGUCAGAGGUGAAAUCCCAGGGCUCAACCCUGGAACUGCCUUUGAUACUGUCAAUCUUGAGUUCGAGAGAGGUGAGUGGAAUUCCGAGUGUAGAGGUGAAAUUCGUAGAUAUUCGGAGGAACACCAGUGGCGAAGGCGGCUCACUGGCUCGAUACUGACGCUGAGGUGCGAAAGCGUGGGGAGCAAACAGGAUUAGAUACCCCAGUAGUCC
rnacentral:rRNA from 1 species